rnacentral:rRNA from 1 species
AACGAACGCUGGCGGCAUGCCUAACACAUGCAAGUCGAACGAUGCCUCCGGGCAUAGUGGCGCACGGGUGCGUAACGCGUGGGAAUCUGCCCUUGGGUUCGGUAUAACUCGCCGAAAGGCGAGCUAAUACCGGAUGAUGACGUACGUCCAAGGAUGUCUCGCACCAGGAUGAGCCCGCGUAGGAUUAGCGAGUUGGUGGGGUAAAGGCCGGCCAAGGCGACGAUCCUUAGCUGGUCGGAGAGGAUGAUCAGCAGCACUGGGACUGAGACACGGCCCAGACGCCUACGAGAGGCAGCAGUGGGGAAUAUUGGACAGGGAGCGAAAGCCUGAUCCAGCAAUGCCGCGUGAGUGAUGAAGGCGUUAGGGUUGUAAAGCUCUUUUACCCGGGAUGAUAAUGACAGUACCGGGAGAAUAAGCUCCGGCAAACUCCGU